rnacentral:rRNA from 1 species
ACUGCUCAGUAACACGUGGACAACCUGCCCUUAGGUUGGGUAUAAACCCGGGAAACUGGGUAUAAUACCCGAUAGGUCUCGAUUGCUGGAAUGCAUCGAGAUUUAAAGCUCCGGCGCCUAAGGAUGGGUCUGCGGCCUAUCAGGUGGUAGUGGGUGUAGCGUACCUACUAGCCUACGACGGGUACGGGUUGUGAGAGCAAGAGCCCGGAGAUGGAUUCUGAGACACGAAUCCAGGCCCUACGGGGUGCAGCAGGCGCGAAAACUUUACAAUGCUGGCAACAGCGAUAAGGGAACCUCGAGUGCCAGGUCACAAAUCUGGCUGUCGAGAUGCCUAAAAAGCAUUUCAUAGCAAGGGCCGGGCAAGACCUGUGCCAGCCGCCGCGGUAACACCGGCGGCUCGAGUGGUAACCGUUAUUAUUGGGUCUAAAGGGUCUGUAGCCGGCCGGAUAAGUCUCUUGAGAAAUCUGGCAGCUUAACUGUCAGGCUUUCAGGAGAUACUGUCUGGCUCGAGGCCGGGAGAGGUGAGAGGUACUUCAGGGGUAGGGGUGAAAUCUUGUAAUCCUUGAAGGACCACCAGUGGCGAAGGCGUCUCACCAGAACGGACCUGACGGCAAGGGACGAAAGCUAGGGGCACGAACCGGAUUAGAUACCCGGGUAGUCCUAGCCGUAAACGAUACUCGCUAGGUGUCGGCCACGGUGCGACCGUUGUCGGUGCCGUAGGGAAGCCGUGAAGCGAGCCACCUGGGAAGUACGGCCGCAAGGCUGAAACUUAAAGGAAUUGGCGGGGGAGCAC